rnacentral:tRNA from 1 species
GGUGACGUGUCCGAGCGGCCGAAGGUGCAACUCUCGAAAAGUUGUGUAGGGUAACCCCUACCGUGGGUUCAAAUCCCACCGUCACCGCCA